AUUGAACGCUGGCGGAAUGCUUUACACAUGCAAGUCGAGCGGCAGCGCGGGGCAACCUGGCGGCGAGCGGAGAACGGGUGAGUAACAUAUCGGAACGUACCCCGUCGCGGGGGCUAACUACCAGAAAGGGUGGCUAAUACAGCAUCCGACCUGAGGGUGAAAGGGGGGGAUCGCAGGACAUCACGCGAUGGGACCGGCCGAUGUCGGAUUAGCUUGUUGGGGAGGUAAAGGCUCACCAAGGCGACGAUCCGUAGCUGGUCUGAGAGGACGACCAGCCAAACUGGAACUGAGACACGGUCCAGACUCCUACGGGAGGCAGCAGUGGGGAAUUUUGGACAAUGGGGGCAACCCUGAUCGAGCCAUUCCGCGUGAGUGAAGAAGGCUUUCGGGUUGUAAAGCUCUUUCGGCAGGAACGAAACGGCAGGCUCUAACAUAACCUGUCAAUGACGGUACCUGAAGAGGAAGCACCGGCUAACUACGUGCCAGCAGCCGCCGUAA
rnacentral:rRNA from 1 species